rnacentral:rRNA from 1 species
AACGAACGCUGGCGGCGUGCCUAACACAUGCAAGUCGAGCGAUUCUCUUCGGAGAAGAGCGGCGGACGGGUGAGUAACGCGUGGGUAACCUGCCCUGUACACACGGAUAACAUACCGAAAGGUAUGCUAAUACGAGAUAAUAUACUUUUAUCGCAUGGUAGAAGUAUCAAAGCUUUUGCGGUACAGGAUGGACCCGCGUCUGAUUAGCUAGUUGGUAAGGUAACGGCUUACCAAGGCGACGAUCAGUAGCCGACCUGAGAGGGUGAUCGGCCACAUUGGAACUGAUACACGGUCCAAACUCCUACGGGAGGCAGCAGUGGGGAAUAUUGCACAAUGGGCGAAAGCCUGAUGCAGCAACGCCGCGUGAGCGAUGAAGGCCUUCGGGUCGUAAAGCUCUGUCCUCAAGGAAGAUAAUGACGGUACUUGAGGAGGAAGCCCCGGCCAACUACGUGCCAGCCGCCGCGGUAACAC